rnacentral:piRNA from 1 species
UUCGCUCAGUUACGCCGGGUUAAGAGUGA